AGUGAACGCUGGCGGUAGGCCUAACACAUGCAAGUCGAACGGCAGCACAGUAAGAGCUUGCUCUUACGGGUGGCGAGUGGCGGACGGGUGAGGAAUACAUCGGAAUCUACUUUUUCGUGGGGGAUAACGUAGGGAAACUUACGCUAAUACCGCAUACGACCUACGUGUGAAAGCAGGGGAUCUUCGGACCUUGCGCGAUUGAAUGAGCCGAUGUCGGAUUAGCUAGUUGGCGGGGUAAAGGCCCACCAAGGCGACGAUCCGUAGCUGGUCGGAGGGGAAGGUCGGCCAGAGUGGAACGGAGACAGGGUCCAGACUCCUGCGGGAGGCAGCAGUGGGGAAUAUUGGGCAAUGGGCGCAAGCCUGAUCCAGCCAUACCGCGUGGGUGAAGAAGGCCUUCGGGUUGGAAAGCCCUUUUGUUGGGAAAGAAAAGCAGCAGGUUAAUACCCCGCUGUUCUGACGGUACCCAAAGAAUAAGCACCGGCUAACUUCGUG
rnacentral:rRNA from 1 species